CAGUCGCCACGGGAAUACGUAGGGUGCGAGCGUUAAUCGGAAUUACUGGGCGUAAAGCGUGCGCAGGCGGUUCGUUAAGACAGAUGUGAAAUCCCCGGGCUUAACCUGGGAACUGCAUUUGUGACUGGCGAGCUAGAGUAUGGCAGAGGGGGGUAGAAUUCCACGUGUAGCAGUGAAAUGCGUAGAGAUGUGGAGGAAUACCGAUGGCGGAGGCAGCCCCCUGGGCCAAUACUGACGCUCAUGCACGAAAGCGUGAGGAGCAAACAGGAUUAGAUACCCCAGUAGUCCCUGUCUCUUAUAC
rnacentral:rRNA from 1 species